rnacentral:rRNA from 1 species
UACGGAGGGUGCAAGCGUUAAUCGGAAUUACUGGGCGUAAAGCGCACGCAGGCGGCUUUUUAAGUCGGAUGUGAAAGCCCCGGGCUCAACCUGGGAAUUGCAUCUGAUACUGGGAAGCUAGAGUAUGUGAGAGGGGGGUAGAAUUCCAAGUGUAGCGGUGAAAUGCGUAGAGAUUUGGAGGAAUACCAGUGGCGAAGGCGGCCCCCUGGCACAAUACUGACGCUCAGGUGCGAAAGCGUGGGGAGCAAACAGGAUUAGAUACCCUGGUAGUCCACGCCGUAAACGAUGUCUACUAGAUGUUCGUGGCCUUGUGCCGUGAGUAUCGCAGCUAACGCAUUAAGUAGACCGCCUGGGGAGUACGGUCGCAAGAUUAAA